rnacentral:tRNA from 1 species
GUACGGUUGACUCAGUUGGUAGAGCGUGGUGCUUUCAACGCCAGGGUUGUGGGUUCGAUUCCCACAGGGGACC